rnacentral:rRNA from 1 species
UACGUAGGGGGCGAGCGUUGUCCGGAAUUACUGGGCGUAAAGAGCACGUAGGCGGUGCGUUAAGUCGGUUGUGAAAUCUCCUGGCCCAACUGGGAGGGGUCAGCCGAUACUGGCGCACUUGAGGGAGGCAGAGGGAAGCGGAAUUCCCGGAGUAGUGGUGAAAUGCGUAGAUACCGGGAGGAACACCAGUGGCGAAGGCGGCUUCCUGGGCUUUUCCUGACGCUGAGGUGCGAAGGCGUGGGUAGCAAACCGG